rnacentral:rRNA from 1 species
AAACCAACAGGGAUUGCCCUAGUAACGGCGAGUGAAGCGGCAACAGCUCAAAUUUGAAAUCUGGCUUCGGCCCGAGUUGUAAUUUGCAGAGGAAGCUUUAGGCGCGGCACUUUCUGAGUCCCCUGGAACGGGGCGCCAUAGAGGGUGAGAGCCCCGUAUAGUUAGAUGCCUAGCCUGUGUAAAGCUCCUUCGACGAGUCGAGUAGUUUGGGAAUGCUGCUCAAAAUGGGAGGUAAAUUUCUUCUAAAGCUAAAUACCGGCCAGAGACCGAUAGCGCACAAGUAGAGUGAUCGAAAGAUGAAAAGCACUUUGAAAAGAGGGUUAACUAGCACGUGAAAUUGUUGAAAGGGAAGCGCUUGUGACCAGACUUGCGCCGGGCAGAUCAUCCGGUGUUCUCACCGGUGCACUCUGCCCGGCUCAGGCCAGCAUCGGUUCUCGCGGGGGGAUAAAGGCCCUGGGAACGUAGCUCCUCCGGGAGUGUUAUAGCCCGGGGCGUAAUGCCCUCGCGGGGACCGAGGUUCGCGCAUCUGCAAGGAUGCUGGCGUAAUGGUCAUCAGCGAC